CUUUUUCUUUAAAGAAAGGAAGUUCAGUCUUGGCUUCGUUACCUGAAGGGAAAAAGGAUAUUAAUGAAACUUCAUUGGAUGAUAAAUGCGCUGGAUUUGUCUGACACAUGUGCCCCUCUGUUACCAAUCCUUCCAUCCGCCUGUCCUCUUUUUGCACGACUUCCUUAGACGCUAUUUUGUACUUGAGCACCUUGGCUUUAAUACGCUUCUAUGUUCUUAUAAACCCAUUAGUAUGUCUCUGAAUGUUUUUUAUUGAGACUCGAGUGGCCCUUUAAACUUGAACAACUUUUAGCAAUGCAUCUCUUGGCUCUCCCAUCGAUGAAGAACGCAACGAAAUGCUAUAAGAAAUGUGAGUUGCAUAAAUCAGUGAAUCAACGAAUCUUUGAACUCACCUUGCGCCCUCAGGACUUCCGGAGGGCAUGCCUGUUUGAGUGUCAUUACCUUCUGAACUUCAAUAGAUUUUACUACCUCAUUGAGGCCUGCAUGUGGGAGCUUGCUGGCGCCUUAGAUGUUCGGGUCUCCUUAAAGUUAUAAGUGGAAACCUUUCUGUUAGGUUAUUCCUGGUGUGAUAAUUAUCGACCCUUUGAAUAUUCUAAUGUUCCAUUGGCACUUGAGAUUUCUCAUUACAAAGACUGGUCUGGGCAUUGCAAUAAAUUUUGCUGUAACAGUGAUCUCUCAGUAGCAAUACCGGUUUCGGGUUGCAAUAAGCUUUGCUUUACCUGUUGUCUCACAAGG
rnacentral:rRNA from 1 species